UGAGGCAGACUGGGGCCCCUUGGGAGCAGCAGGGCUGAGGUCUAGGAGCCGUGCAGGGGGAGGGGCAGGAGGGGACAGGACUGGAAAGUGGCGCUCCACUGCUGGGCUAGGUCGGGGGCGCGUAGGCCGAGGGAGGGCGUGGAAGGCAACCCGAGGAGACUACCCGUCGGAGGGGCUCAGGCCGAGGUGCUCAGCUGAAGCAUCUGCGAGGAGGGGGUGUCCCAGGUCUCCGCUGCAUACAUCAUCCUGCUGUUCUCACCCCAAGCCCCCUUCCUCAGCAUCUGGCCACUCGAGAGUCUCCCAAGGUGUCUGUAAGCGUCCUUCAGCACCCUGCUCUCUGUUCAUUGAGUGACCUCAAGCGUGCCCUUGGUGACUCACAGUGGAGCGCAGGACAGGUCUCUCUAUGGCCUCGGUUGGUCGACUGGGGCAGUGCAGGUCCAGCAGCAACAGUCGUUCACUGUCCCAAGAGCAGCAGAAAAUGUACAGAAUGCAGAGUUGGAUUAAGAAGUGUACAGAGGGCAUCUGGACACUGAAGCCUGAAGAAUUCAGUCCAAGAUCUGGAGUUUGCUGCAGUGUCCUGUGCAAGUCCAUAUCAGGAGGCCUAUGGGUCUGUGAUGGAAGGCUGAAGUCUA